GCUCAGGUAGUACAGUGGUCAGUACACCCCUUUGUUGGCAGUGUGCGUUGAUCGACGCCACGUGCUGUGCAAUUAUUGUUGCCAGGUCAACAUCGGCGGAGACGGAAGAUUCGACUUCUCCCCUGGGCA